rnacentral:tRNA from 1 species
GCGGGUGUGAUGGAAUGGCAGACAUGCAAGAUUUAGGUUCUUGUGCCGCAAGGCGUGCAGGUUCAAGUCCUGUCACCCGCACCA